CCUACGGGAGGCAGCAGUGAGGAAUAUUGGUCAAUGGGCGGAAGCCUGAACCAGCCAAGUCGCGUGAGGGAAUAAGGCCCUACGGGUCGUAAACCUCUUUUGCCGGGGAGCAAGGGCGGGGACGUGUCCCGGCCCGGAGAGUACCCGGAGAAAAAGCAUCGGCUAACUCCGUGCCAGCAGCCGCGGUAAUACGGAGGGUGCGAGCGUUAAUCGGAAUUACUGGGCGUAAAGCGCUCGUAGGCGGUAUGUCAAGUCAAGGGUGAAAUCCCCGCGCUCAACGUGGGAACUGCCUUUGAAACUGGCAAACUGGAGUGUGUGAGAGGAUAGUGGAAUUCCAGGUGUAGGAGUGAAAUCCGUAGAUAUCUGGAGGAACAUCAGUGGCGAAGGCGACUAUCUGGCACAUAACUGACGCUGAGGAGCGAAAGCGUGGGUAGCAAACAGGAUUAGAUACCCUUGUAGUC
rnacentral:rRNA from 1 species